rnacentral:rRNA from 1 species
AAGUCUGGUGCCAGCAGCCGCGGUAAUUCCAGCUCCAAUAGCGUAUAUUAAAGUUGUUGCAGUUAAAAAGCUCGUAGUUGAAUUUCGGGGUUAGUAGGCUGGUCGUGCCACUGGUAUGUACUGGUCUUACUGACUUCUCCUUUCUGAAGAACUGUAAUGCCAUUAAUUUGGUGUUGCAGGGAAUCAGGACUGUUACUUUGAAAAAAUUAGAGUGUUUAAAGCAGGCUAACGCUUGAAUACAUUAGCAUGGAAUAAUGAAAUAGGACGUUCGAUCCUAUUUUGUUGGUUUCUAGGAUUGACGUAAUGAUUAAUAGGGAUAGUUGGGGGCAUUAGUAUUCAAUUGUCAGAGGUGAAAUUCUUGGAUUUAUUGAAGACUAACUACUGCGAAAGCAUUUGCCAAGGAUGUUUUCAUUAAUCAAGAACGAAAGUUAGGGGAUCGAAGACGAUCAGAUACCGUCGUAGUCUUAACCAUAAACUAUGCCGACUAGGGAUCGGAUGAUGUUAAUUUUUUAAUGACUCAUUCGGCGCCUUACGGGAAACCAAAGUGUUUGGGU